rnacentral:sRNA from 1 species
AGCCUAACCCUUAUGAGUUCUGAAAUUUAUAAGGUAUGGCACAAAAACGGUUCAGGCCAUUAAGCUCUCAGUCAGAGCACCUGAACCAUCAUAUUCCGAAAGGUAUAUGGGUGUCGCAAGACAUC